GCGGAUAUAGUCGAAUGGUAAAAUUUCUCUUUGCCAAGCCAAGGAGAAGACGCGGGUUCGAUUCCCGCUAUCCGCCA
rnacentral:tRNA from 1 species